rnacentral:rRNA from 1 species
AACGAACGCUGGCGGCAUGCCUAACACAUGCAAUUCUAACGAUACCUUCGGGUCUUGUUGCGCACGGGUGCGUACCGCGUGGGAACCUGUCCUUAGGUUCGGAAUAACUUCCUGAAAGGGGUGCUCAUACCGCCUAUUGUCUUCGCCCUACAGCUUUAUCGCCUUUUGAUGGGCACGCUCUGGAUUAGCUAGUUGGUAGGGUAUACGCCUACUAAGGCUACGAUCAAUAGCUGGUCUGAGAGUAUGAUCAGCCACACUGGCACUGAGACACGGCCCAGACUCCUAAGGGAGGCAGCAGUGGGGAAUAUUGGACAAUGGGCGAAAGCCUGAUCCAGCAAUGACGCGUGAGUGAUGAAGGGAUGAGGGUUGUAAAGCGCUUUUACCCGGGAUGAUAAUGACAGUACCGGGAGAAUAAGCCCCGGAUAACUCCGUG